rnacentral:rRNA from 1 species
AUGGCGUGUCCGUGCUGGAGGAGACUGCGGUCGUUCGUGCGAUACGAGACGGACAGCACCGAGCCGCUCAGUCGCCGGCUGUCGGGUGCCAAGGAGGAGGCGGUCUCCGACGGCGAGGCACUCGGGGGACUCAUCGAGCGCGUGGCGUCCCUCCAGCGCGCCCUCGAGUCGGCGGUGCUGCAGCGUAACGUGGCCGUGGCACUGAUGCACGAGGCCCAGCGGCACGCGGAGGAGGCCGAGGCUGCGGUCGGGGCCGCUGCGAGGGCCGGCGAGCUUGCCGCGGCGGAAGUGCGCGAGAAGACGGAGCAGAGCGCGGCGACGGACGCGCGCAUCAGGGAGCUCGAGAGGGAGAUGCUAGUGCUACGUGAUGGCGAACAAUGGGCGCUGGAGGCCGCCGCCGCGGAGACGCGGGAGAAGGAGGGGGAGCCAUGCAUGGGAGGGGCGUGCGCGUCAGGAAGCUCGUGGAGGAGAUGCUACCUGAUGAGCAAUGGGUGGCAGACGUGA